rnacentral:rRNA from 1 species
CGUAGGGGGCAAGCGUUGUCCGGAUUUAUUGGGCGUAAAGAGCGUGUAGGCGGCCAGGUAGGUCAGCUGUGAAAACUCGAGGCUCAACCUCGAGACGCCGGUUGAAACCAUCUGGCUAGAGUCCGGAAGAGGAGAGUGGAAUUCCUGGUGUAGCGGUGAAAUGCGCAGAUAUCAGGAAGAACACCCGUGGCUAAGGCGGCUCUCUAGUACGGUACUGACGCUGAGACGCGAAAGCGUGGGGAGCGAACAGGAUUAGAUACCCUGGUAGUCCACGCCGUAAACGAUGGGUGCUAGGUGUGGGGGGUGUCGACUCCCUCCGUGCCGCAGCUAACGCAUUAAGCACCCCGCCUGGGGAGUACGGCCGCAAGGCUAA